rnacentral:rRNA from 1 species
AGGACGAACGCUGGCGGCGUGCCUAACACAUGCAAGUCGAACGAGGUCCAACCGGUAGCAAUACUGGGAACGAUCGAGUGGCGAACGGGUGAGUAGCACGUGAGCAACCUGCCCCGAAGACCGGGACAACACCGGGAAACCGGUGCUAAUACCGGAUAUCCCCACCGAAUCGCAUGGUUUGGUGAGGAAAUGGAUUCCGCUUCGGGAGGGGCUCGCGGCCUAUCAGCUUGUUGGUGAGGUAACGGCUCACCAAGGCUUCGACGGGUAGCUGGUCUGAGAGGACGAUCAGCCACACUGGGACUGAGACACGGCCCAGACUCCUACGGGAGGCAGCAGUGGGGAAUCUUGCACAAUGGGCGAAAGCCUGAUGCAGCAACGCCGCGUGAGGGACGAAGGCUUUCUGAGUUGUAAACCUCUUUCAGCAGGGACGAUUGUGACGGUACCUGCAGAAGAAGCCCCGGCCAACUACGUGCCAGCAGCCGCGGUAAUACGUAGGGGGCAAGCGUUGUCCGGAUUUAUUGGGCGUAAAGAGCUCGUAGGCGGCUUGGCAAGUCGGAUGUGAAACCUCCAGGCUCAACCUGGAGUCGCCAUUCGAUACUGCCAUGGCUAGAGUUUGGUAGGGGACCACGGAAUUCCUGGUGUAGCGGUGAAAUGCGCAGAUAUCAGGAGGAACACCAGCGGCGAAGGCGGUGGUCUGGGCCAAUACUGACGCUGAGGAGCGAAAGCGUGGGGAGCGAACAGGAUUAGAUACCCUGGUAGUCCACGCCGUAAACGUUGGGCACUAGGUGUGGGGACCUAUCGACGGUUUCUGUGCCGCAGCUAACGCAUUAAGUGCCCCGCCUGGGGAGUACGGCCGCAAGGCUAAA